rnacentral:rRNA from 1 species
UACAGAGGGGGCAAGCGUUAUUCGGAAUUAUUGGGCGUAAAGGGCGCGUAGGCGGCUUUGCAAGUGACGGGUGAAAGCCCUCGGCUUAACCGAGGAACUGCCUGUCAGACUGUGAGGCUUGAGACCGGGAGAGGUGAGUGGAAUUCCCAGUGUAGCGGUGAAAUGCGUAGAUAUUGGGAGGAACACCAGUGGCGAAGGCGGCUCACUGGACCGGAACUGACGCUGAGGCGCGAAAGCGUGGGGAGCAAACCGG